AAAUUGAAGAGUUUGAUCAUGGCUCAGAUUGAACGCUGGCGGCAGGCCUAACACAUGCAAGUCGAGCGGUAGCACAGAGAGCUUGCUCUCGGGUGACGAGCGGCGGACGGGUGAGUAAUGUCUGGGAAACUGCCUGAUGGAGGGGGAUAACUACUGGAAACGGUAGCUAAUACCGCAUAACGUCGCAAGACCAAAGUGGGGGACCUUCGGGCCUCAUGCCAUCAGAUGUGCCCAGAUGGGAUUAGCUAGUAGGUGGGGUAACGGCUCACCUAGGCGACGAUCCCUAGCUGGUCUGAGAGGAUGACCAGCCACACUGGAACUGAGACACGGUCCAGACUCCUACGGGAGGCAGCAGUGGGGAAUAUUGCACAAUGGGCGCAAGCCUGAUGCAGCCAUGCCGCGUGUGUGAAGAAGGCCUUCGGGUUGUAAAGCACUUUCAGCGGGGAGGAAGGCGAUAAGGUUAAUAACCUUGGCGAUUGACGUUACCCGCAGAAGAAGCACCGGCUAACUCCGUGCCAGCAGCCGCGGUAAUACGGAGGGUGCAAGCGUUAAUCGGAAUUACUGGGCGUAAAGCGCACGCAGGCGGUCUGUCAAGUCGGAUGUGAAAUCCCCGGGCUCAACCUGGGAACUGCAUUCGAAACUGGCAGGCUAGAGUCUUGUAGAGGGGGGUAGAAUUCCAGGUGUAGCGGUGAAAUGCGUAGAGAUCUGGAGGAAUACCGGUGGCGAAGGCGGCCCCCUGGACAAAGACUGACGCUCAGGUGCGAAAGCGUGGGGAGCAAACAGGAUUAGAUACCCUGGUAGUCCACGCCGUAAACGAUGUCGAUUUGGAGGUUGUGCCCUUGAGGCGUGGCUUCCGGAGCUAACGCGUUAAAUCGACCGCCUGGGGAGUACGGCCGCAAGGUUAAAACUCAAAUGAAUUGACGGGGGCCCGCACAAGCGGUGGAGCAUGUGGUUUAAUUCGAUGCAACGCGAAGAACCUUACCUGGUCUUGACAUCCACAGAACUUAGCAGAGAUGCUUUGGUGCCUUCGGGAACUGUGAGACAGGUGCUGCAUGGCUGUCGUCAGCUCGUGUUGUGAAAUGUUGGGUUAAGUCCCGCAACGAGCGCAACCCUUAUCCUUUGUUGCCAGCGGUCCGGCCGGGAACUCAAAGGAGACUGCCAGUGAUAAACUGGAGGAAGGUGGGGAUGACGUCAAGUCAUCAUGGCCCUUACGACCAGGGCUACACACGUGCUACAAUGGCAUAUACAAAGAGAAGCGACCUCGCGAGAGCAAGCGGACCUCAUAAAGUAUGUCGUAGUCCGGAUUGGAGUCUGCAACUCGACUCCAUGAAGUCGGAAUCGCUAGUAAUCGUAGAUCAGAAUGCUACGGUGAAUACGUUCCCGGGCCUUGUACACACCGCCCGUCACACCAUGGGAGUGGGUUGCAAAAGAAGUAGGUAGCUUAACCUUCGGGAGGGCGCUUACCACUUUGUGAUUCAUGACUGGGGUGAAGUCGUAACAAGGUAACCGUAGGGGAACCUGCGGUUGGAUCACCUCCUUA
rnacentral:rRNA from 1 species